GAUGAACGCUGGCGGCGUGCCUAAUACAUGCAAGUCGAGCGAACGGACGAGGAACUUGCUUCUCUGAUGUUAGCGGCGGACGGGUGAGUAACACGUGGAUAACCUACCUAUAAGACUGGGAUAACUUCGGGAAACCGUAGCUAAUACCGGAUAAUAUUUUGAACCGCAUGGUUCAAAAGUGAAAGACGGUCUUGCUGUCACUUAUAGAUGGAUCCGCGCUGCAUUAGCUAGUUGGUAAGGUAACGGCUUACCAAGGCAACGAUGCGUAGCCGACCUGAGAGGGUGAUCGGCCACACUGGAACUGAGACACGGUCCAGACUCCUACGGGAGGCAGCAGUAGGGAAUCUUCCGCAAUGGGCGAAAGCCUGACGGAGCAACGCCGCGUGAGUGAUGAAGGUCUUCGGAUCGUAAAACUCUGUUAUUAGGGAAGAACAUAUGUGUAAGUAACUGUGCACAUCUUGACGGUACCUAAUCAGAAAGCCACGGCUAACUACGUG
rnacentral:rRNA from 1 species